rnacentral:rRNA from 1 species
AUUGAACGCUGGCGGCAGGCCUAACACAUGCAAGUCGAGCGGAUGAAGGGAGCUUGCUCCUGGAUUCAGCGGCGGACGGGUGAGUAAUGCAUAGGAAUCUGCCUGGUAGUGGGGGAUAACGUCCGGAAACGGGCGCUAAUAACGCAUACGUCCUGAGGGAGCAAGUGGGGGGUCUUCGGAACUCACGCUCUCAGAUGAGCCUAGGUCGGAUUAGCUAGUUGGUGGGGUAAAGGGCUACCAAGUGGACGAUCCGUAACUGGUCUGAGAGGAUGAUCAGUCACACGAGAACGUAGACACGGUCCAUGCUCCUACGGGAGGCAGCAGUGGGGAACGUUGGACAAUGGUCGAAAGCCUUAUCCAGCCAUGCCGCGUGUGUGAAGAAGGUCUUCGGAGUGGAAAGCAGUUUAAGUUGGUAGGAAGGGCAGUAAGUUAAUACCUUGCUGGUUUGACGUUACCAACAGAAGAAGCACCGGCUAACUUCGUG